AGAGUUUGAUUAUGGCUCAGAUUGAACGCUGGCGGCAGGCCUAACACAUGCAAGUCGAACGGUAACAGGAAGCAGCUUGCUGCUUUGCUGACGAGUGGCGGACGGGUGAGUAAUGUCUGGGAAACUGCCUGAUGGAGGGGGAUAACUACUGGAAACGGUAGCUAAUACCGCAUAACGUCGCAAGACCAAAGAGGGGGACCUUAGGGCCUCUUGCCAUCGGAUGUGCCCAGAUGGGAUUAGCUAGUAGGUGGGGUAACGGCUCACCUAGGCGACGAUCCCUAGCUGGUCUGAGAGGAUGACCAGCCACACUGGAACUGAGACACGGUCCAGACUCCUACGGGAGGCAGCAGUGGGGAAUAUUGCACAAUGGGCGCAAGCCUGAUGCAGCCAUGCCGCGUGUAUGAAGAAGGCCUUCGGGUUGUAAAGUACUUUCAGCGGGGAGGAAGGGAGUAAAGUUAAUACCUUUGCUCAUUGACGUUACCCGCAGAAGAAGCACCGGCUAACUCCGUGCCAGCAGCCGCGGUAACACGGAGGGUGCAAGCGUUAAUCGGAAUUACUGGGCGUAAAGCGCACGCAGGCGGUUUGUUAAGUCAGAUGUGAAAUCCCCGGGCUCAACCUGGGAACUGCAUCUGAUACUGGCAAGCUUGAGUCUCGUAGAGGGGGGUAGAAUUCCAGGUGUAGCGGUGAAAUGCGUAGAGAUCUGGAGGAAUACCGGUGGCGAAGGCGGCCCCCUGGACGAAGACUGACGCUCAGGUGCGAAAGCGUGGGGAGCAAACAGGAUUAGAUACCCUGGUAGUCCACGCCGUAAACGAUGUCGACUUGGAGGUUGUGCCCUUGAGGCGUGGCUUCCGGAGCUAACGCGUUAAGUCGACCGCCUGGGGAGUACGGCCGCAAGGUUAAAACUCAAAUGAAUUGACGGGGGCCCGCACAAGCGGUGGAGCAUGUGGUUUAAUUCGAUGCAACGCGAAGAACCUUACCUGGUCUUGACAUCCACGGAAGUUUUCAGAGAUGAGAAUGUGCCUUCGGGAACCGUGAGACAGGUGCUGCAUGGCUGUCGUCAGCUCGUGUUGUGAAAUGUUGGGUUAAGUCCCGCAACGAGCGCAACCCUUAUCCUUUGUUGCCAGCGGUCCGGCCGGGAACUCAAAGGAGACUGCCAGUGAUAAACUGGAGGAAGGUGGGGAUGACGUCAAGUCAUCAUGGCCCUUACGACCAGGGCUACACACGUGCUACAAUGGCGCAUACAAAGAGAAGCGACCUCGCGAGAGCAAGCGGACCUCAUAAGUGCGUCGUAGUCCGGAUUGGAGUCUGCAACUCGACUCCAAGAAGUCGGAAUCGCUAGUAAUCGUGGAUCAGAAUGCCACGGUGAAUACGUUCCCGGGCCUUGUACACACCGCCCGUCACACCAUGGGAGUGGGUUGCAAAAGAAGUAGGUAGCUUAACCUUCGGGAGGGCGCUUACCACUUUGUGAUUCAUGACUGGGGAGAAGUCGUAACAAGGU
rnacentral:rRNA from 1 species